AUGGAGGGCGGCAAGGCGGCGGCCUACGCCCACCACCACGACACCGCCAGGCUGCUCAAGGCCUUCAGCCGCACCGUCGAGCCGCGCAACUUCGGCAUCGGCCUCGUCGCCGGAUUCCUCCUCGUCACCUGCGCGUACUUCUCCACCGCCAAGUUCGACGCCAUCCACAUCGCGCCCCUCGUCAGCCCCCUGGAGACCCGGAUUGGCUCGCCGGUGAGUGCCGCCGCCGCCGGCUCCAAGACCCAAUUAGAUUUGGGCGUGCCGGGGCAGGACGCGGCAUUAUCCGGGGAGGGGAGCAAGGCCGAGGUGCUGGACACGGACGGCGACGACCACACGACCACCUCCCCCUCCUCCUCUUCACCGCAAGAUUUGGUCCACGAUGCGUCGCUGGCGGACACGAAGAAAGAUGACACCUUUGCCGUGGAGGCCGCCAAGGACGAUGACGCCGCCGGCGCUCUUCUCCCUCCCCUGUCGGCAAACGGCACGCAAGAGGAACAAGGUGUUCUUGAGGACCAGGAGCUGCUAGUGCAGGAUGCCAUUGCCGCUGCUAAUUCACCAAACAAGAGCUCCAGCAAUGGCGGCUCACAGUCCGUGGUUCAAUCCGACCCGGCGACGAUUCCUGCUCCAGUCCAGCAGACUCCUCCUACCGUUCCAGUUCCAGAGGCUCCCAAGCAGGAGGAGGCCAAGGCUCCUCCACUCCAGCAGAUUCCCCUCACUCCAGAGGCUGUCAAGCAGCAGCCAGGUUCGGAGGAGGCGGCGACGGCGCCCCGGCGGGAGUGGAAGCCGCUGUGCGACCUGACGUCGAACCGGCGCAUCGACUGGUGCGAGCUGGACGGCGACGUGCGCGUCCACGGCGCCAAGGCCACCGUCACCCUGGUCGGCGCGCCGCAGGCCGAGGAGUGGCGCAUCAGGCCGUACCCGCGCAAGGUCGACCCCAACGCCAUGCGCCACGUCACCAACAUCACCGUGCGCUCCACCACGACUCUCCCCGGCGCCGGCGAGGACGCCGAGUGCGCGAUCAGGCACUCGGUGCCGGCGCUGCUCUUCUCGGACCGCGGGUACACGGGCAACUACUUCCACGCCUACACCGACGUCAUCCUGCCGCUCUUCCUCACGGCCAAGCAGUACGGCGGGGAGGUGCAGUUCCUCGUCUCCGACCUGCAGAUGUGGUGGGUCGGCAAGUUCCUCCCCGUCUUCAAGAGCCUCUCCAACUACGACCUCGUCGACCUCGCCGCCGACAACCGCACCCGCUGCUUCCGCCACGUCCAGGUGGGGCUCACCUGCCACGCCGACUUCAGCAUCGACCCGCUCCGCGGCCCCAACGGCUACUCCAUGGUCGACUUCACCAAGCACAUGCGCGGCGUCUACGGCCUCCCCCGCGGCCUCGCCGUGCCGGCCACCGGCGCCAGGCCACGGCUUCUGCUCAUCGCGCGCGCUAGCACGCGGCGGUUCGUGAACGCCGACGACAUCGUGCGCGCGGCGCAGAAGGUCGGGUUCGAGGUGGUGGUGUCGGAGGGCACGCACGAGGUGGCGCCCUUCGCGGAGCUGGCCAACACGUGCGACGCCAUGCUGGGCGUGCACGGCGCCGGGCUGACCAACAUGGUGUUCCUGCCCACGGGCGGGGUGGUGAUCCAGGUGGUGCCGCUGGGCGGGCUGGAGUUCGUCGCCGGCUACUUCCGGACGCCGUCCAGGGACAUGGGCCUGAAAUACCUCGAGUACCGGAUCGCGCCGGCGGAGAGCACGCUGACGGAGCAGUACCCGCCGGACCACGCCAUCUUCACGGACCCCGACGGCGUGAAGAGCAAGGGGUGGGAGUCGCUGAAGCAGGUGUACCUGGACAAGCAGGACGUCCGGCUGGACCUCAAGAGGUUCCGGCCGCUGCUCAAGAAGGCCAUCGCGCACAUCAGAGCAAACAAGCUCCAGUGA
rnacentral:rRNA from 1 species